AUGGAGGUCUUUGGCUCACCAUCAUCCAGAACAAGUACCUUCGAGGACAGCCUCUUGCAUUCUGUUAGCGCUCGGGCAGCUCCCAGUUUUGGCAGGACGUCGUCCAGCUGCUCCCUGUGCUUCGCAUUGGCACAUCCAUCUCGGUUGGUACUGGGUCCUCGACCCUGUUCUGGUUUGAUCGGUGGAUUGGCGACACCCCCUGGCCGCGCGAUUUCCGAAGCUCUUCGCCAUGCAGUUGACCCUCGCGUCUUUGUUCAGACGACCCUUAUUGACUUAGGGCGCCUCGCUUUCCGCCGCCCCUUUGGCCCACCUGAAGUUGCCGCUUGGGACGCCCUCCUUCAGGACAUCGCCCUCCUCUCUAUGGACGGCGUCGACACCCCGGAUGCCACCUCUUGGCGUCUAGAGCCUUCCGACUGCUUCUCCACCAAAUCCCUCUACGCGGCCAUCGCCCCCUCGACGGCCCCCGAGCCCUUUAGUUUGAUUUGGGACAUCCGCCUGCCCCUGAAGAUCAGGAUCUUCCUGUGGCAAUGCAUCCGCGGCCGCCUCCCGUCCGGCGUGGAGGUCCUUAAACGUAAUGGACCUGGGGAUGGGAUGUGCCCCUUGUGCGGCACGGUGGAAGAUGCUAACCACAUCUUCUUCUCGUGCUCCACGGCUCAGUUCCUUUGGUCUUGUUUCCACGAGAUGGUUGGGGCCCAGUGGUGUAACACCAACUUCCCUGACCUGCUUGCGGAAAUUCACGCCUCCCCCCUUGCUACCGCCAUAUUAGAUGGCUCUGCGUUGGGUUCCUUGCCUAGACGCUUUGGACCGUUCGCAAUAAGCUUGUCAUACAGAAGGUCCCUCUUCGACGUGCUACUGACGCCAUCUUUAAAAUGUGUGGAUACUUGCAGCUUUGGCGGCCGCUUAGCCGCCCCCAGGAUCGGGACGUCAUGA
rnacentral:rRNA from 1 species